GACAGAGGGUGCAAACGUUGUUCGGAAUUACUGGGCGUAAAGCGAGUGUAGGCGGUUUGGUAAGUCAGAUGUGAAAGCCCCGGGCUCAACCUGGGAAUUGCAUUUGAGACUGCGUAGCUAGGGUGCGGAAGAGGGAAGCGGAAUUUCCGGUGUAGCGGUGAAAUGCGUAGAUAUCGGAAGGAACACCAGUGGCGAAAGCGGCUUCCUGGUCCAGCACCGACGUUCAGGCACGAAAGCGUGGGGAGCAAACAGG
rnacentral:rRNA from 1 species